rnacentral:rRNA from 1 species
AAUCAACGCUGGCGGCGUGCCUAACACAUGCAAGUCGAGCGAGAAAAGGGGGGCAACUCCCUGAGUACAGCGGCGCACGGGUGAGUAACACGUGGGUAAUCUGCCCUGGAGUGGGGAAUAACACCGGGAAACCGGUGCUAAUACCGCAUACGAUCACGGAGUCUGCGGAUUUUGUGAUGAAAGGAGCAAUUCGCUCUAGGAGGAGCCCGCGGCUGAUUAGCUAGUUGGUGAGGUAAUGGCUCACCAAGGCAACGAUCAGUAUCCGGUCUGAGAGGACGGUCGGACACACUGGAACUGAGACACGGUCCAGACUCCUACGGGAGGCAGCAGUGGGGAAUUUUUGGCAAUGGGGGCAACCCUGACCAAGCAACGCCGCGUGGGUGAUGAAGUCUCUUGGGACGUAAAACCCUUUCGACGGGGACGGAACCGCAAGGUUGACGGUACCCGUAGAAGAAGCCCCGGCUAACUCCGUGCCAGCAGCCGCAGUAAAAC